UCACUCUGGGAUGGACCUGCGGUGCAUUAGCUAGUUGGUAAGGUAACGGCUUACCAAGGCGAUGAUGCAUAGCCGAGUUGAGAGACUGAUCGGCCACAAUGGAACUGAGACACGGUCCAUACUCCUACGGGAGGCAGCAGUAGGGAAUCUUCCACAAUGGGCGCAAGCCUGAUGGAGCAACACCGCGUGAGUGAAGAAGGGUUUCGGCUCGUAAAGCUCUGUUGUUGGAGAAGAACGUGCGUGAGAGUAACUGUUCACGCAGUGACGGUAUCCAACCAGAAAGUCACGGCUAACUACGUGCCAGCAGCCGCGGUAAUACGUAGGUGGCAAGCGUUAUCCGGAUUUAUUGGGCGUAAAGCGAGCGCAGGCGGUUGCUUAGGUCUGAU
rnacentral:rRNA from 19 species